AUGGCAGGUCGUGGAAAGGGCAUGAAGGGGCUUGGAAAGGGAGGAGCAAAGAGGCAUAGGAUGAUUCUCCGCGACAACAUCCGCGGAAUUACAAAGCCUGCCAUUCGUAGAUUGGCGAGAAGAGGAGGCGUCAAGAGGAUUAGCGGUUUGAUCUACGAAGAAAGUAGAGGAGUUCUCAGAUUGUUCUUAGAAAGAGUCAUUCGUGAUGCUGUUACGUAUACCGAACACGCUAGGAGGAAGACUGUCACUGCCAUGGAUGUUGUGUAUGCUCUUAAAAGACAGGGAAAAACCCUAUACGGUUUCGGAGUUUGA